rnacentral:rRNA from 1 species
UGAGUGAGUGGCGGACGGGUGAGUAACACGUGGGUAACCUGCCCUAAAGUGGGGGAUAACAUUUGGAAACAGAUGCUAAUACCGCAUAAAACCUAACACCGCAUGGUGUAGGGUUGAAAGAUGGUUUCGGCUAUCACUUUAGGAUGGACCCGCGGUGCAUUAGUUAGUUGGUGAGGUAAAGGCUCACCAAGACCGUGAUGCAUAGCCGACCUGAGAGGGUAAUCGGCCACACUGGGACUGAGACACGGCCCAGACUCCUACGGGAGGCAGCAGUAGGGAAUCUUCCACAAUGGACGAAAGUCUGAUGGAGCAACGCCGCGUGAGUGAAGAAGGUUUUCGGAUCGUAAAACUCUGUUGUUGGAGAAGAAUGUAUCUGAUAGUAACUGAUCAGGUAGUGACGGUAUCCAACCAGAAAGCCACGGCUAACUACGUGCCAGCAGCCGCGGUAAUACGUAGGUGGCAAGCGUUGUCCGGAUUUAUUGGGCGUAAAGCGAGCGCAGGCGGUUUCUUAAGUCUGAUGUGAAAGCCUUCGGCUCAACCGAAGAAGUGCAUCGGAAACUGGGAAACUUGAGUGCAGAAGAGGACAGUGGAACUCCAUGUGUAGCGGUGAAAUGCGUAGAUAUAUGGAAGAACACCAGUGGCGAAGGCGGCUGUCUGGUCUGUAACUGACGCUGAGGCUCGAAAGCAUGGGUAGCAAACAGGAUUAGAUACCCUGGUAGUCCAUGCCGUAAACGAUGAGUGCUAGGUGUUGGAGGGUUUCCGCCCUUCAGUGCCGCAGCUAACGCAUUAAGCACUCCGCCUGGGGAGUACGACCGCAAGGUUGAAACUCAAAGGAAUUGACGGGGGCCCGCACAAGCGGUGGAGCAUGUGGUUUAAUUCGAAGCAACGCGAAGAACCUUACCAGGUCUUGACAUCCUUUGACCACUCUAGAGAUAGAGCUUUCCCUUCGGGGACAAAGUGACAGGUGGUGCAUGGUUGUCGUCAGCUCGUGUCGUGAGAUGUUGGGUUAAGUCCCGCAACGAGCGCACCCUUAUUACUAGUUGCCAGCAUUUAGUUGGGCACUCUAGUGAGACUGCCGGUGACAACCGGAGGAAGGUGGGGACGACUUCAAUCUUCUGCCCUUAUGACUGGGCUACCACC